ACGCUCGACACCUACGGGAGUCAGCAGUGGGGAAUAUUGCACAAUGGGGGAAACCCUGAUGCAGCGACGCCGCGUGGAGGAAGAAGGUCUUCGGAUUGUAAACUCCUGUUGUUGGGGAAAAAGAGGAUGGUACCCAACAAGGAAGUGACGGCUAACUACGUGGCAGCAGCCGCGGUAAUCUGAGCGGGCUGGCAAGGC
rnacentral:rRNA from 1 species